AGCUUUCUCAAAGAUUCUACCAGAUUUUCCAGGGGUUCUCAAAGAUUGUCUGCAAACCAGCUCUGAUAAAUGAUUGCAGCUUCUUGAGUCUAUAGAGAGAGACCUUUAUGCUCUCUCUACUAGGAAGUAAUGCUUUUUUCCCUGAGAUUAUGUUCUUUUUAAAAUUUUUAUGUGCUUUUAAAAUCUCAUGUGUGUAUUAACAUGUCCUUUCUUUAUAGAAUGUUGAAGACAAUAUAUAAAUUUCUGAAAAGAUUUGAAUGAUUUGAUUUGGCAAAAUAAAGAAUUGCCAAUCCUACAUAGAGCUCCAUACACCAAUUUUUA
rnacentral:lncRNA from 1 species